CAGAAGGCAGCAGGAAUGUGUUCUUAGAGGAUUAGUACUUCCAGGAGUGCUCUCUCUGGGUGUAACUGUUGGGUAGUACUUAGUAGACCCUUGGAUUUUAUUGGUCUUUGCUGUUUUUGAAGGACUACUGACAGAUGAUGGCUGAUGAAACAGAAGUUUUGGUCACAAUCAACGUGCUGCCUUGAUUUUCUUUUAAAAUUUCCUGUGCCAGCAAUCAAGAUGGCUCAUAGAAUGCUGAAAUGAUCUGAAACUAAUCAUCUGGAAGAUUCAUCAUUAUAUGAAGAUGACUAUACUAACAGCUAUUUUAUUGAGAGG
ensembl:lncRNA